AAAAACCCAGGUCGUUGGUCAGCCAUGUCUGUUAGUUGAGAUUCCCAGAAAUGAAGCGCGUCGCAAGAUUUCAGCUUCCAGCCCACCUCUUUUUACUUCCCUAAACCGUGUAAAAACCAUGUCGGAACAUCUCAUAUAGUAUAAACCCUGUACUAUACAAGCUAUGAAACCUGAAACCAGACAAGAACAAAUUGGUAUGAAGACCAAAUGAAGUGCAUAAUUCUGCAGACUAAAAGAAGGGAAAUGGGAAUUCUAAGAAAGAAAUUUUGAUGGAAGAGAAAGGAAAGCAUCAGAGAAGUGCAAAGGCAAAAGUUAGAGAAAAAUUUGAAGACAAUGAAUAUGAGCGUGAACAAUUCCAGCGGAUUUUUACCAUAUACAGUCAAUAUGUUAGAUGUUUGGUGGAAUUGGUUCAUCUUCAUAAUCAUUGGCUUCAAAAUUUUCUCUAACUUUUCUUUGCCCUUCUUUGAUGCUUUCUUAAUUUCCUUCUUGAUUUGACUGCAAAAUUAUGUUGUUCAUUUGGUCUGUUUCUUUCUUCCCUAAUUUGGAAGUUAAAGUCAACUUAAACUCGGUGGUCUCCGAAGGAAAUUAAGGUGGUCAAGGGAGGAAUCAUGAAAGCUGUUGAGAGAGGAAACACGUUGCUUGGUUGGGCAAAUAGAGAAGAAGAAUCCUGGAAUUGAAUCCUGAAAUUUGAAGUCAACUGAUAGAAUUGGUUUGGUUGCAGCUCUCUCUGGAUUGAUGUUGUCCUGUGAGAGUGUAUGUGGUACAUAUUCAAAUAUGCUAAAUAAAAAUGCUUUAAAAUAUUUAUGAUAUAUGAAUAUCAGUUUCAGGCAUCAAAUCCAUGGGGCCACUGUCCAUGUCAAAAUAUAUAUUGUUAUAACAAUCUCUUAGCUGGACUGUUGUUAAAAUGUAAGGUCACCGUGAAAUUCUGCACAUAUUUCGGUAAAUUAUGAAUUACAUUUACAGCAAGCUAAAAAUAUCCAUAAAUCACAAUAAAAUUGAAAUUUCCUACACCUUAAAACCUUGUCCAUUCUAAUAAACUAAUAUACAUCUUCAUCUUUGUCAUAAUUCUCAAGUAUUUCCCCCUUUCCUUUGUCUCUCGAGGAUUUAUUAUAAGUUUUAGCAAUUUUUCCUUUUUUCUUGUCAAUUGUAAUUUCCCCUUUCCUCUGUUGAUUGAAGAUACAUGAUCAACAAAACUGGAG
rnacentral:lncRNA from 1 species